UGGAUAGCUCAGUUGGUUAAAGUGUGGUGCUGAUAACACCAAGGUUGCAGGUUCAGUCCCCGUAUUGGACAA
rnacentral:tRNA from 1 species